CUAGAGGAAUACAACAAAUGAAAAACUAUAUUGAAAAGAAAAUUUGGCUCACAUAUAAUGGUAAAACAAAGAAUUGGGAGGAAAUCGCCGCAAAAGUGCAAGACGUACCGGUGGUGUGGCUAGCUACACGAAGUAGGCUACAACAAAGUUAGAAAAUCUAACGGUUAUGGCCAAGAAGGAGAUGUCCUGCCUUGGGAGUGAAUCAAAUGGAAAAGGGGGUGUCCUAGCUCCAGCUGCAAUGGUCGCUGACAUGCAUUGGACGCACCCAGUGAUGGGGAGUGCUGGUGGACAGGAUCUGCGCGUCCUAUCAGAAAGUGAGUCAGACCUUCGGCAGUGAGCCAGUCAAAGAAAUGAGUGAAGCGAUAGUGCCCGUCAUCCUGUCUAUCCUCCGCCAGCCCAGCGUAAAAGAGACGGAGAGCGGAAAAGAACAACGACGAACCAUUGAAUCAACAGAGGACGUGUUGGCUCUCCAAUAAGAAGUUUUGCUGUAUCAGAAAAUUAG